rnacentral:lncRNA from 1 species
AGUAUUAUUGCGUUAAAGGCAUGGGACUAUGCAAAAAUUUGAUUCGAAAAAAAGAAGUGAGACGAUAGGUAAAAAUGGACAAGUGUCCGAAGUAGAAUUAGGGGUACAAAGAUACCCACCUGAGUAGAAAAAAUGGACACGUGUUCGAUAGUAGAAUUAGGGGUACUUGGUGCCCACUUAAAAAAAGAAUGAAAAAAAUGAUAGCCCAUGGUCCCUCUAAUAAGCAAUAUGCCAGUAAUAGAUGACAAACUUUUCAAAAAGGUCAAAGGUCUUGAUCUAGGAGUAGACAUUCAUCUCCCUUGCUCCGAGCAUUGACAUAGCAAAAU